rnacentral:rRNA from 1 species
AUGUUUGUUUCUGAAGCUAGCUCUAAUCUGGUUGCUUGUAGUGGAUUGCAGCACAUCUUGCUGAAGCGGCUGCGGGAGGAGCACCUCCUCCCAUCUCUCAUUCAUGAGCAUAAACAGGGAACCAGGUCCACAGCCACCGCUGCAAGAAAUUGUUCUCGUAGGACACACACUUUAGUGCACGUAGAGAACAUUCUUCUCAAAAUACAUGAAAAACACAAAUUAUUAUUUCAGUUGGCCUUUUUGGUUUUUGUUGCUGUAUUACACGCUGCAGCAAGGAAACGCCGUGUGUUGACCCCUCCUGCCGAAGCCUUCAUCUCGCCGCCGUCGGACCCCUCUUCCCCGGCCCCUUCCCCUCGCCGCCAUCAGCGGCAACAUAUGAAGGCGACAUCGAGCAUCAGUGGCAACGUCUGGGAAUAA